rnacentral:misc_RNA from 1 species
GGUUAAAUCAAAGCAAGCUUGGCAAUUAUACAAAUUCAGUUAUCAAAUUAAAAGAACUCGACCCACAAAUUUUACCAUAAAUAUCUAGCUCUUGCUUUGCUCCUGGUAGUUCUGCUUCAUUUAAGUAUAGGAUGCAAUUAAGAAAUGAGAUAGUCAUUACCUAUAUAAAUUGCUCGUAGUCAUACCCUUUUAAGAAAUUUUCAUUUAUCCGCAAAUUACAUGUAAUAGGCUUACCGUUUAAACAGUAAAGAGAGCAUAUGAUCAUAAUAAUAAUAAUAAUAA